GUAGGUGGCAAGCGUUGUCCGGAAUUAUUGGGCGUAAGGCGCGCGCAGGCGGUUCUUUAAGUCUGAUGUGAAAGCCCACGGCUCAACCGUGGAGGGUCAUUGGAAACUGGAGAACUUGAGUACAGAAGAGGAAAGCGGAAUUCCACGUGUAGCGGUGAAAUGCGUAGAGAUGUGGAGGAACACCAGUGGCGAAGGCGGCUUUCUGGUCUGUAACUGACGCUGAGGCGCGAAAGCGUGGGGAGCAAACAGGGAUUAGAUACCCUGGUAGUCCACGCCGUAAACGAUGAGUGCUAAGUGUUAGGGGGUUUCCGCCCCCUUAGUGCUGCAGCUAACGCAUUAAGCACUCCGCCCCGGGGAGUACGGCCGCAAGGCUG
rnacentral:rRNA from 1 species